CCUACGGGGGGCUGCCGUGAGGAAUAUUGGUCAAUGGGCUUACGCCUGAACCAGCCAAGUCGCGUGAGGGAAGACUGCCCUAUGGGUUGUAAACCUCUUUUGUCAGGGAGCAAUUGGCGCUACGUGUAGCGUUAUCGAGAGUACCUGAAGAAAAAGCAUCGGCUAACUCCGUCCCAGCAGCCGCGGUAAUACGGAGGAUGCGAGCGUUAUCCGGAUUUAUUGGGUUUAAAGGGUGCGUAGGCGGAAUGCCAAGUCAGCGGUAAAAUCGCGGGGCUCAACCUCGCUCCGCCGUUGAAACUGGCGUUGUUGAGUGGGCGAGAAGUAUGCGGAAUGCGUGGUGUAGCGGUGAAAUGCAUAGAUAUCACGCAGAACUCCGAUUGCGAAGGCAGCAUACCGGCGCCCAACUGACGCUGAAGCACGAAAGCGUGGGUAUCGAACAGGAUUAGAUACCCCUGUAGUC
rnacentral:rRNA from 1 species